GAUGAACGCUGGCGGCGUGCCUAAUACAUGCAAGUCGAGCGAACAGACGAGGAGCUUGCUCCUCUGACGUUAGCGGCGGACGGGUGAGUCACACGUGGCUACCCUGCCUAUAAGGCUGGGAUACCUUCGGGAAACCGGAGCUCACACCGGAUCAUAUAUUGAACCGCGGGGUUCAAUGGUGAAAGACGGUUUUGCUGACACUUAUAGGUGGAUCCGCGCCGCAUUAGCUAGUUGGUAAGGUAACGGCUUACCAAGGCAACGAUGCGUAGCCGACCUGAGAGGGUGAUCGGCCACACUGGAACUGAGACACGGUCCAGACUCCUACGGGAGGCAGCAGUAGGGAAUAUUCCGCAAUGGGCGAAAGCUUGACGCAGCAACGCCGCGUGUGUGAUGAAGGUCUUCGGAUCGUAAAGCUCUGUUAGUAGGGAAGAACAAAUGUGUAAGUAACUAUGCACGUCUUGACGGUACCUACUCAGAAAGCCCCGGCUAACUACGUG
rnacentral:rRNA from 1 species